CGUUUCUCGCUGAACCGACGACGGUUCCGUCGAUUUUUCUUCAGUUUGAAUACGGGCAAGAAAAAGAGCAAAGGGAAAAUUAUCCCAGUACUCGGGCGUCGUCGCGUAGUAGUCCCGAUGUUCUCCCUCGCAUGGCUAUUAGUGUCAAAUACGAAGUGGAGGGAAGAGGGAAAAAAAUAAAGCGAGAAUCCAAAGAACACGUAAUAACACGCCGUCAAAGCCGGUGUUCGCUUAAUACUUGAAGAAUAUUUCUCGAGUGCGUUAAAUUUUUCCUCCAUUAUGAUGAUUGACAUUUUUAUUCCCGCAUUCGCUAAUAUAAAUUCCCCCAUUAUCUGAGCUUGUAAUUAGAUCGGUGCAGGAUAUUCCCUUUUUUUUUUUUUCACCUGACUUUUUCCUUUUAUUUUCCAGUCGCUCUAUUCAGACGUUCGAUCUUAACGACGGACGCUGCAGGGUCUGCGGAGACGUCACCGUCGAUGAGUAAUAAACGGUCCCCGGUAAAACACCCGUCCCAGUCAUCGACUACCGGGUAGUUUCGAUAACUAAUGACGUCGGGAAAAUACAAUUGCGAAAUGAUUAUCGCGUCCAGUAAAACUAAGAUAUCGACGACUGUGAGAAUGAUUCAUAAUGAUGGGAGGAAAAAAAAAAAAACAAGUAAAAUAAAAUAAAAAUAAAAUAAAAUAGUUGCAAAAAUUAAGAUAAGUACCACGAACGAUAUACAUUAUACGCGUACGCUUCUUAUCUCCGCGAUGAUCCGACGAUCGGGAAUUCCUAACGCGAUUGGAUCUGAUCGUACGAGAUCGCAGAGAUCCGUCAGCAUGACGAACAAACGUAUAGUGAAGUGAAGUUUGUUUCAAAGGGAUACGAGACGUCCAGUUGACUUGAUAUAAACGCAUGAAAUGAAUGGUAAUCAUUCAGCAGGUGGAUGGAACGGAAUGGAAUGGAAUGGGAUGGAUCGGAGUUACUCUCUUGCAACUUAGCGUGGGUUCCGGUACUAACAAGAAUCGUCCUCCGAAGAACCGGUGAAUAUUUCCUGCCGACGUUACAGUACCCGGACUCUAUUCUCUCUUCGUCCAGAUGAUGGUAUCAACGGUAGCCGCGCUACAACCGCCCCGUGCACCGUACCCGGUACAAGCGUUGGGUCGGAGUCAUGGCAUCGAGAGAGGUCAUCAUGUUCACACGAAUCUGAACCGUCCUAAUGCGGCGCACUGUUCCAAUUAAGAAUCGCUAAGUGGUGAUCCGACCGAAUAACCGGCCAACUGUUUAUUUGCCCGGGGCCAUUAGCCGCGAGCGUCCGCGUCAACCGAGUUGCCUACGCUCGAGGUACCGCGAAGACCGAGAAUAAGGAGGAGGAGGAGGAGGAGGACGAUGGUUUUUCAAAGACGGAACGCGUUCGUUGGCGCAACGUCGGCGUUGCCCACAUGACAUGUGAACGACGGUAGUAGUUCACCUUGAGUUAACUGUAACUGUAUCGAUGCGAACACAUAUAUAUCUAUACAU